rnacentral:lncRNA from 1 species
CAGAUAGUAUUGAAGCCAACAUUGAGACUGCAUCUUCUAAUGUAGAAUCAGCCAAUGAGCAGUUGGCAAAAGCAAGUCAGCACCAACUACGAGCCAGGAAGAUGAAGUGCUGCCUCCUCUCUGCUGCUGUGGCCGUUCUGCUGUUCAUCGUCAUAAUCAUUGCAGUCUCAGUCAAACGCUGAUCUGAUGACUGUUUCCACAGAGUCUGUGAUCACCCCUGACGUGGAAUGGAUUCUCAAGGCAUUUCACAUUCAUGCCCUAUGUCAGUGUCUGCUUUGCUGGUCACGGUGUGUUGAAACUGCCAUAACCAACGAAAACUAAUUGUAUGGAAGCAAAGCUAAGUUUUAUGCCAUAUGUUAGUAUAAUUGUGAAUAAGUU